AUUGAACGCUGGCGGAAUGCUUUACACAUGCAAGUCGAACGGUAGAGGGGGCAACCCCUUGAGAGUGGCGAACGGGUGAGUAAUAUAUCGGAACGUGCCCAGUCGUGGGGGAUAACGUAGCGAAAGUUACGCUAAUACCGCAUACGAUCUACGGAUGAAAGCGGGGGACCGUAAGGCCUCGCGCGAUUGGAGCGGCCGAUAUCAGAUUAGGUAGUUGGUGGGGUAAAGGCUCACCAAGCCAACGAUCUGUAGCUGGUCUGAGAGGACGACCAGCCACACUGGAACUGAGACACGGUCCAGACUCCUACGGGAGGCAGCAGUGGGGAAUUUUGGACAAUGGACGCAAGUCUGAUCCAGCCAUUCCGCGUGCAGGACGAAGGCCUUCGGGUUGUAAACUGCUUUUGUACAGAACGAAAAGGUCUCUAUUAAUACUAAGGGCGUCAUGACGGUACUGUAAGAAUAAGACACCGGACUAACUACGUG
rnacentral:rRNA from 1 species